GCUUGCGCGGGUCUCCGCCGCCUGGGCUCCUAGGGACUGUAUCCUCGGCGGUAUGUCCCUUGCUUUCCCUUGAAGCGGGAGAAGACGCGGCAGAGGCGCUCUGUCCGCUGCAGCCGCGCGGGUGGAGGAGGCAGAGUCUGAGGUGUGACCCCGACCAAAUUUGACGCUUCUGUCCUCCUAGGGAGCAAGCUCGGCUGAAGGCCCACGUCGUAGACCGGGACACCGAGGCGUGGCAGCGAGACCCCGCCUUCUCGGGUCUGCAGAGGGUCGGGGGCGUUGACGUGUCCUUCGUGAAAGGGGACAGUGUCCGCGCUUGUGCUUCCCUGGUGGUGCUCAGCUUCCCUGAGCUCGAGUUUAGACAUGACUUCCUCCACUCAGCUCCCUCUCAUCCCACAAGACCAGGACUUGUCCCUCAGCACCAAGUCUUAGUCCAUUUGGGCUGCUGUAAUAGAAUACCUUAGACUGGGUGGCCUACCCACAGCAGGAAUUUAUUUCUCACAGUUCUGGAGGCUGGAGGCUCAAGAUCAGGGUGCCAGCGCAAUCAGGUUGUGGUGACGGCGCUCUUCCAGGUUGCACAGGGCCAGCUUCUUAACCGUGUUCUCACAUGGUGAUCCACUCACCUCCCUAGAGGCCCCACCUGGUAAUACCAUCACCUAUGGGUUAUAAUUUCAACACAGGAAUUUGGGGAGGACACCAGCAUUUAGACCGUAGCAAGCCUCUGCUUCCUCUUGUCUUGCUGGAAUGGAACUGGCCUGUCUUCCCUACUGGAAUAUAAACUCCAUGAUGGUAGAAACCAUGUUGCUUUGCCCACCAUGGAUAGCAUGAGGAAGACGCUGGACUCUUCCUUCAAUAGAUACGUGUGUGAAUGGACAGUGGGCUCAUGAUUCACAUAAGAGUCAACUGCUCCGGAAGCCUCUUGGCGUCACUCGCAUUGCUCCUCUGCCGACUCCCGAAGGUGACAAACGUCUUCCUGCUUCCAUGGCUUUGUGCUUUACUUGGGAGGCCCUUUUCAGUCCAAAUCAAGCAAAAAUGUACUGAGUGCCUACUGUGUGCUAAGAUUGGGAUAUUCAGCAGCCCCUACUCUAAGAGGUCCCCUGGCCAUUGUGUAGGCUAGCAUAGGGAGUGGGGGCACAGUCUUAGGGUCCUGACUGCUCAUGCUCACACCCAACUCUGCCACUCCCCACUUUGCCCUCUAGGCCUCUGUCUCCUUUUUUCUGACUUGAGGAUGAUAGUGGUAUUAAUAUCCAGCUCACAGAAUUGUGAUGAGCAGUACAUGAAAUGCACGGAAAGCAGUUAACACAGCGUUCCCUUCCCCCUCCAACUUUUCCUGGCUGCAAAUUAAUCACCUCAUCUGCAUCCUGGGCCUCUUUUGAAUGCACAUGCUGUUAGAGCACUUCUCACAUUGUAUUAAAGUUAGUCAUUUAUGAUUCCAUUUUUCCCACUGACUGUAGGUUCUCAAGAGUAGGGUGUACCAUAUUUCUUUUACAACCCCAGCACCAAGCAAAGCACCUGCUACUUCGUUGGUAUUCAUUGUUCCGCCUAUGAAAGCUUAGACUAGGAAAGGAUCUUGGAACAGUCUGGUCCACUGGUUCCUGAAUGCCCGACCGUGGACCUGCAGGAGCAGAAUCACCCAGAAGUGUGUUGAGAAACAGGUUCCGUAGGCACAUCCACAGAGACAGAAAGUGGAUCCUAGGGCCUUGGAGUUGGGGUGGGAUGGAUGGGAAGUGACUGCUGAUGAGAAUGAGGUUUAUUUAGGGGUUAAGGAAAAUGUUCUAAAGUUAGAUUGUAGUGAUAUUGCACAACUCUGUAAAUACCAAAACCAUCGCAUUAUAUGUUUUAAACAAGUG
rnacentral:sRNA from 1 species